rnacentral:rRNA from 1 species
UUUAAAUGAAGACCAGAACAAAAGAUUUAACGUUUAAAUUAAUAUCUCCAUUUAAUCCUAUUCAACUUAUUCUAAAUGUAAAAAAACAUUUAUAAAAAAGAAAGACGACAAGACCCUAUUGAACUUAACUUAAGUUAAACUGGGGCAGUUAAUUAAUAAUCACUUUAAUUUUAUAAAUUAAAUAAAUGAUCCAAUAUAAUUGAUAAUGAUCAAGUUACCAUAGGGAUAACAGCGUAAUAAUUUUCUAAAGUCCUUAUAAAAACAAUAGAUUACGACCUCGAUGUUGAAUUAAUUACCUGAUUAGAGCAAAAACUAAUUAAGGAAGUCUGUUCGACUUUUAAAAGAUUACAUGAUUUGAGUUCAGACCGGUAUAAGCCAGGUCGGUUUCUAUCUUCUAAAAAAUUCUUACAGUACGAAAGGGCCUAAGAAACUAAUUUAAUUAAUUUAAUUGGCAGAAAAAUGCAUUAGAAUUAGAAUCUAAUUAAACUAAUUAUCCCUUUUAUUUUAUCUUAUCUAAUUAUUAUUAUUAGA